UACAGAGGUCCCAAGCGUUGUUCGGAUUCAUUGGGCGUAAAGGGUGCGUAGGCGGGUUUUUAAGUCAGGGGUGAAAUCCUGGAGCUCAACUCCAGAACUGCCUUUGAUACUGGCGAUCUCGAGUCCGGGAGAGGUGAGUGGAACUGCGAGUGUAGAGGUGAAAUUCGUAGAUAUUCGCAAGAACACCAGUGGCGAAGGCGGCUCACUGGCCCGGUACUGACGCUGAGGUGCGAAAGCGUGGGGAGCAAACAGG
rnacentral:rRNA from 1 species